rnacentral:lncRNA from 1 species
CUCUUCCUCUAUUAAUUCUUCUCCAUCUCUGAAGCAUCUAAGAGAUCAAAAGAAGAAGAAGAAGAUCAGCCUUCAAAGAUCUUUGCGAACUAACAUUCUCGAAGAGCCUGAUCAGCAUCCGUUCUUCAUGUGGACGAUCUGUGGAGGUCAGAUACCUUUGUGCGACUUUGAGCAAUCUGAAGAAACUCCUAUCCAUGUGAUACAUUUUUAGAGAUCAGCAACCCGUGCUUCGGUAAUGAGUUCUGAACUAGUUAGAUCAGGCUUGGUUAGAUUCAAGGGUUAGAUCUAGUCUACAACAUCAAUAUAAUCAAUACAGAUUUUUAUUUUUUAGAUCUUAAUCUCAUAUUUAAUCAUAUCAUAGAUCUUGACAUAGUAGUUUAGAUUAGAUCUUGGGCAUG